CUGCUAAUCUCCAAACCUCUUGCCUGGCUGGUCCAAUGUGUGCUUUCAAAGGAUGUGCCUCCCUGGUAGCAGGAGAGCCUGGAAUUAGGAGUGGGAGAGCAAAAUUCUGCAGAGGAAGGUGCUGCCUGAGGCUGAGGCAUUCCCCUUGGAAAGCAGGUGCCUCUCUUGCCCCCCCCUGAUGUCAGCAGGGAAAAGCUGCAGCUCCCACAGCUUGGGAGAGCCAUCCCUGCCCAUGUCUGAACCCGUCUCAGUUCUGCCAGGCCUGUUAUGGAUUCAGCACCAAGCACAUGUUUUAAGUCCC